CGUCCUGAAGCUAAACUCUAGCCCAACUACAUCAUAACCAGCAGCCAAAAUCCACUUUAUCCACAAACUAAAACAUUCUCUUAACUUAGUAUAGGCGAUAGAAAAGUUCCCCUCACCCCUGGCGCGAUAGAGAUCUCUUGUACCGUAAGGGAAAGAUGAAAUAGUAGUGAAAACCCAAGCAACGCACAGCAAAGAUGAACCCUUGUACCUCUUGCAUCAUGGUUUAGCAAGAAUAACCAAGCAAAACGAAUUUAAGCUUGCCCUCCCGAAACCCAAGCGAGCUACUUGUAGGCAGCUAUCCUAGAGCGAACCCGUCUCUGUUGCAAAAGAGUGGGAUGACCUACUAGUAGAGGUAAAAAGCCAACCGAGCUGGGUGAUAGCUGGUUGCCUGUGAAACGAAUCUAAGUUCCUCCUUAAUUCACCUCCACGGACACUUAACUAACCCCCUAUGUAGUGAAUCAAGAACAAUUUAAAGGAGGUACAGCUCCUUUAAAAAAGGAUACAACCUCUCACAGCGGAUAAAACUCACUUUCCCCCAACCUGUAGGCCUUUAAGCAGCCACCAACAAAGAAUGCGUCAAAGCUCCCUCCCUCAAAAAUACAAAAACAAUACGACUCCCUCCCCACUAACAGGCUAACCUAUCAUAAUAGGAGAAUCAAUACUAAAAUGAGUAACUAGGGGCACCCCUCUUAAGCGCAAACUUACAUCAACACAUUAUUAACAGCGUCUGAUUAAUGCUACAAUCUCAACAAGCUCCCACAUUAAAACCACUCUGUUAGCCCAACCCAGGAGCGCCCACUAGAAAGACUAAAAUCUGCAAAAGGAACUAGGCAAGCCCAAGACCCGACUGUUUACCAAAAACAUAGCCUUCAGCAAACCUAGUAUUGAAGGUGAUGCCUGCCCAGUGACCCUUAGUUCAACGGCCGCGGUAUCCUAACCGUGCGAAGGUAGCGCAAUCAAUUGUCCCAUAAAUCGAGACCUGUAUGAAUGGCUAAACGAGGCCUUAACUGUCUCUUGCAGAUAGUCAGUGAAAUUGAUCUUCCCGUGCAAAAGCAGGAAUAAGCACAUAAGACGAGAAGACCCUGUGGAACUUAAAAAUCAGCAGCCACCACACAAAAAUAUGCACCUACCAGGCCCACAGUCAAAAUCAAACGCUGGCUCGCAUUUUUCGGUUGGGGCGACCUUGGAGAAAAGAAGAGCCUCCAAAAAUAAGACCACCCCUCUUAACUAAGAGCAACCCCUCAACGUACAAACAGUAACCAGACCCAAUAGCAAUUGAUCAAUGGACCAAGCUACCCCAGGGAUAACAGCGCAAUCUCUCCCAAGAGCCCCUAUCGACGGAGAGGUUUACGACCUCGAUGUUGGAUCAGGACGUCCUAAUGGUGCAGCCGCUAUUAAGGGUUCGUUUGUUCAACGAUUAACAGUCCUACGUGAUCUGAGUUCAGACCGGAGCAAUCCAGGUCGGUUUCUAUCUAUGUAGCACUUUUCCUAGUACGAAAGGACCGGAAAAGUAAGGCCAAUACCACAAGCACGCCUUCUCCCUAAAUAAUGACUCCAACUGAAUCAUAAAGAGAACCCCCACAAACCCUCAAGCCCUAGAAAAGGGCCGCUAGUGUGGCAGAGCCCGG
rnacentral:rRNA from 1 species